rnacentral:rRNA from 1 species
UACGAAGGGUGCAACCGUUGCUCGGAAUCAUUGGGCGUAAAGCGCACGUAGGCGGCCUUGCAAGUCGGAUGUGAGAUCCCACGGCUCAACCGUGGACGUGCAUCCGAAACUGCUCGGCUCGAGUAUGGAAGAGGGUCGCGGAAUUCCCGGUGUAGAGGUGAAAUUCGUAGAUAUCGGGAGGAACACCAGUGGCGAAGGCGGCGACCUGGGCCAAUACUGACGCUGAGGUGCGAAAGCGUGGGGAGCAAACAGG